GCUCAAGGCACAGUUCAGUUCCUCUCUCUCAGUAUAGGUUUAUGCCUCUGCUCUGCGUUAAAUCACUUGAGUAAAUUAGCCGUGAUAUAGACUGUUACGGAGGCCGUGCACUCAAAACCAGAAGGAGGUGAACUCGACUGAACUGACUAUUAAGCAACGAAUGCAGCAACAAGCAUCACGAUCUGAUGCAAAGGGAAGGAGCAUCAUGGCCGGAUUAACCAGUUCAAAACACCAACACAGUCGGGAUAAUAUGUGUACGUACACAAUGAAAAUGAAUGUGUCAUCAUGUUCCGGUGUUUUGAUUUUUAUGUUGACAGUGCAGUGCUUGCUGCCUGGUGAGGUUUAUGCACAAAAAACACUUGGUCAGGGUUCAGAAAAGAUCCUGUUUUGGCUCCAGAAACACGGUUUGGUUGCCCAGAAGACGGAUACAAAAUGUCUUGAUGCUAAAAUUACCCAGUGGAAGUGCCGCCAAGGUAACGUAUAUAUUUGAUGUAUUUGAGGUUUGCAGAGACUUUACAAUGGCAACAAGUGAUGAUGAUACGCUUAUUAAACCAUCGUUGGCAGUGCACACACACACACACGCACACACACACUAUAAAUGGCAUAUAAAUGAAUAUACCAGCACUUAUAUCUGUGUGUAAAUUAGUUUGUGGUAAUGUGAUCAGACACAACUUUAUUUAGGAACCUGGAGCAUAUGAGCACAAGAAUCUAAAGUAAUUAAGUUUUGCAGGACGGGGCCUCAGAUCAAUCUGCCUUCAUCAGAGCAUCAAAAACAUUCACUGAUAAUGAUAUGAUAUGACUCUUAACUUUCUUCGGUUAAUUAUUUGACGUAACAAUGUCAGUCCUGCCUCCAUAUUCAGGUUGGGGUUAUAAAAUCAGCGGUCAUUCUUUAUCAGAUGUCAUUAAGGCUGAAUUUCAAGGAUUUUUUUCUGGCAAUUUAGUUUAAUUUUAUUAACAUAAAGAUGGAGAUGUGUGUGGAAGAGAGAGUUUGAGAAAUAACGGUUUAGAUAUCUAGACAUUUAGUACUUUAUAGGUGACGCUAACCGUAACACGUUUCUUUUGAAUUCAUUCCUUGCAUGGCUUUCAAACACCGCAUGACCCAAAAAGUACAUUUUCGAAGAACAUUGUCUGCCUCGCAGCUGCUUUUAAAUCCAUCCAUCCAUCGGUCCACUGUAUUGUGUAUGUAUGUCUUCCUGAGCAUUUGUUUAAUGUGCAGAGCGGACAUGUUUUGAUCCAGUCGCCGGUCUCAGGCUGACCUUUUCGCUGCUGCAUUCACAUAGCAAACUAAAAAAUCAAUUUAACAUAAUUCUGCCUACGUACGCUCCGAUGUGCAUUUGUGUGUGUGCAUCAGAUUCAAGAAAGCUAACCAUUGAUCUGGUGGACAACUGCUGGCGUGUGUGUGUGUGUCAUUUCAGAUGUGGAGCUGCGAGCGCCCGCGUGUGUGAUAUAAAAGCUUGACCAUUGAUCCAGCGAAGCCCCGGCAACGGCCGUUCGGGGGCAAACAUAUUGAUCCGCAGCAGCCAGAUGACCCGGUCCACCUGUUGUUACCGCCGAGCGCUGAGUCGAUCUCAACAUGCACAAAACGAGGACGCCAACUGCCACAGCCGCCGCCUCCUCCUCCUCCACGCCAAAAGGAAUGAACAGAAUUAGAACGACGCGCGUGCAGGCCGCUCACCGGUUGUCUGAGGGCAAAUGAAAGGCGACAAAUGGCGCUGACGAGAGUGAUCAGGCCAUCGGACAGCAGCAGAGGUAUUGGGUCCCUGGUGGUGUCGGUGAAGCACUUCUAAAAAUGGAGAACAGCUGGAUCGGAUCAGGACCAAGAAGUCUCUGCAACACCCGAGGGAGACACACCGGGUCUCGUGUAGACUCAAACCCCUAAAGCUCCGAACUGUGUGCAGAAAGGAGGCUACGGUUCCUUUCUUUUUGCCUUUCGGCACGGUUACGCUUGAAGAUUAGUGUUACACAGGUCAUUAUACAUAUCUUUCACCGCCGCUACAGUAGAGUCCAGACCUUUAAGACUCCAAUUACUGUCAUGUCCAAAGGUCUGAAUCCACUAAAAAAUACAGCAGCUGGUCUGAAAUUUCUUCAUUUCAGACACAUUUUGUCAUCGUGAACCUCCUCGACAUUUUAGAUUUGCAGAGUUCAGCCCGUCGCUUCUUCCCACACAGGGUCGACACAAAACACAGAGAAGCUACGUUUAUGCAAGAUAUACUUUGAAACAACUCUGCCAAAACAAAAAAUAAAAAUGUAAGGCACGGCCCAAGUUAAUUUAACAAUUUCCUAGUUAUCCCAAAACCAUCUUUGAACCUUUGUUUAAGAACUUAUUUUGUGUUUUGUAAAGAACUUACCUGUCCUUGCCCUAUCUAAAUUAAAAGGCUGGGUUUAUACAAUAUUUUGAAAUAUUCAUCAAAUUAAAAAGCAUUGAGAACAAUAUAAAAUAUCACCUGACCUAACCUUCAGUCCCCGGCUCCAACACGCGUGAUUCAAAUGAAGCGGAAGAAAAACACUGCUUUAAUUGAAUGGUGACAGCUGAUUGAAAACACGUUUUCAAUCAAACUCAAUUUAUCUUUCAUGACUGCACAAUGCAUUUAGAGUAUAUUAUACAUGCACAUUUUCAAGAGGUGUUUAGCAUGUUUUACCUGAUAUAUAUGUCUUGAUAGGUUGUACAGGUUAAGGUAUUCAAAGGCUCACUUUAAGGUGUUUCCUCAGAGCGGCAGCGAGCAACAACACAGGAUACGAGUUUAUUCACUCACGGUGUCAGGACGCCACUGUGGCUGAAACGCCAGCCAGCCUUCAUUUUCCCAGGAGACUUUGCAGGUUUAUUUGUUCAUCAGUCUUAACGCCGACGGUGUCAGUGUGUUAUAGCCAUGACAUUGUGCAAUCGAUGUUUACUUCAAAACGUUAAGGUAAAGCAAAAAAAACAUGUCUGUUGUCAAUUUAAAUGUGGUCCUCAGGGUGAUUCAGCUCGCUGUACUUUGCACUUUGUACUCAUGGUACUUAGUUUGUCUUAAUUUCCUUUUGUGUUGUGCAAAAUAAACUUCUAAUUAGUC